AGAGUUUGAUCAUGGCUCAGAACGAACGCUGGCGGCAGGCCUAACACAUGCAAGUCGAACGCUUGUAGCAAUACAAGAGUGGCGCACGGGUGAGUAACGCGUGGGAACGUGCCUUUUGGUACGGAAUAACAGUUGGAAACGACUGCUAAUACCGUAUACGCCCUCCGGGGGAAAGAUUUAUCGCCAAAAGAUCGGCCCGCGUCAGAUUAGCUAGUUGGUGGGGUAAUGGCCUACCAAGGCUCCGAUCUGUAGCUGUUCUGAGAGGAAGAUCAGCCACACUGGAACUGAGACACGGUCCAGACUCCUACGGGAGGCAGCAGUGGGGAAUAUUGGACAAUGGGGGAAACCCUGAUCCAGCCAUGCCGCGUGAGUGAUGAAGGCCUUAGGGUUGUAAAGCUCUUUUACCAGGGAAGAUGAUGACGGUACCUGGAGAAUAAGCACCGGCUAACUUCGUGCCAGCAGCCGCGGUAAUACGAAGGGUGCUAGCGUUGUUCGGAAUCACUGGGCGUAAAGCGUGCGUAGGCGGCUUUACAAGUCAGGGGUGAAAUGCCAAGGCUUAACCUUGGAACUGCCUUUGAAACUGUAGAGCUGGAGUGUCGGAGGGGAUAGCGGAAUUUCUAAUGUAGCGGUGAAAUGCGUNNAU
rnacentral:rRNA from 1 species